rnacentral:RNase_P_RNA from 1 species
GAGGAAAGUCCGGGCUCUAUUUAGAUAAAUAUAGUUAUAUAAAUAUAAUGUAGGCAACUACGAGGAUAGUGCCACAGAAAUAAACCGCUUUAAAAUGAUUUUUUAUUCAUUUUAAUGUAAGGGUGCAACGGUAUGGUAAAAGCAUACCAGAAAUAUUGUUAAGAUAUUUGCUGGGUAAACCCCAUAUAAGAGCAAAGUAGUUAGUUGAUUAUAUUUUUCUAUAUAUUAAUCUCAAAUAUUUUAUAUAACUAGCUUUUUAUAUACUGCAUGAAGUUAAGCUUUUUAAUUAACUUUAGAUGAAUAAUUACCCUUUUUGUAUAUUAAUUUAUAAUUACAAUUAAGAACAAAACCUGGCUUAC